UCUACGGGUGGCAGCAGUGAGGAAUAUUGGUCAAUGGGCUUACGCCUGAACCAGCCAAGUCGCGUGAGGGAAGACUGCCCUAUGGGUUGUAAACCUCUUUUGUCAGGGAGCAAUUGGGUCCACGCGUGGGCUUAGCGAGAGUACCUGAAGAAAAAGCAUCGGCUAACUCCGUGCCAGCAGCCGCGGUAAUACGGAGGAUGCGAGCGUUAUCCGGAUUUAUUGGGUUUAAAGGGUGCGUAGGCGGAAUAUCAAGGCAGCGGUAAAAAUUCGGGGCUCAACCCCGUCGUGCCGUUGAAACUGAUGUUCUUGAGUGGGCGAGAAGUAUGCGGAAUGCGUGGUGUAGCGGUGAAAUGCAUAGAGAUCACGCAGAACUCCGAUUGCGAAGGCAGCAUACCGGCGCCCAACUGACGCUGAAGCACGAAAGCGUGGGUAUCGAACAGGAUUAGAUACCCUGGUAGUC
rnacentral:rRNA from 1 species